CCCUUAGAUGUUCUGGGCCGCACGCGCGCUACACUGACGAUGGCAACGAGUUUUUCCUUCGCCGAAAGGUGUGGGUAAUCUUUUGAAACAUCGUCGUGCUGGGGAUAGAUCAUUGCAAUUUUUGAUCUUGAACGAGGAAUUCCUAGUAAGCGCGAGUCAUCAGCUCGCGUUGAUUACGUCCCUGCCCUUUGUACACACCGCCCGUCGCUACUAACGAUUGAAUGGUUUAGUGAGGACUCCUGAUUGGCGCCGCCGCCCCGGCAACGGAGCAGCGGACUGCCGAAAAGUUGUUCAAACUUGAUCAUUUAGAGGAAGUAAAAGUCGUAACA
rnacentral:rRNA from 1 species